GUGGAGGGCCUGGAGCCGCGGGACACACAGCGCGGGUGAGGGGGGCUGCGCCGGGUGCGCCCACUCGCCGGUGUUACAGCGGGGGUACCGCCCUGGGUGAGCACGGGGCUCCGCGCCACCGCCCGCGGUUCAACGCCAGCGCCGGGGGCCGCGGCGGUACCGGCGCCGCUCCCGCCGUGACGGGUCGCGGAGCUGGGCAGCCCUGCAUCCGCGGGGCACGCACGGACACCGCGGCCAGGAGGGGUCACAACACGUUUGUCUUUAUCUCUGCACCUUCCCUUGCCAAACGUGACCAAAGCGAUGCUGCAGGAGCAUCUGUGCGCCCAGCAUUGCUCCUCUGUGGGUGUGUAUGGACAGGUGUGACCAUGGACAGAUGUGACCAUGGACAGGUGUGACCAUGCGCUGUCACCCUCCUCACAGCUGGUGCACAUCCUGCUGCCACCUGCUCCACAAAAAACGAGCUCCAGAGAGCCAGCAGCCUUCAGUCCCUCCCUUUCCUACUGAAGAAGAAAAGGUAAUAGCUUGACAUAAACACAUUGGUGAACUUGAAGCAAGUCAGUACACCAUUAAAAAACAAACGCACAAACCCCAAACCACAACAAGAAUACAGUACUUUAAUCAUCCAAAACUUGUACUGGGUUACAAUCUGACAGCAUAUAGUGCUGAUAGGCUAAAACACUCCAUUCAUGUUUCCUCAAUGGAAAUUUAAACUGAAUACUUGCUCGUUUGUAGCUUACAAACAGUGUUACUCAAGCUGCAGAGAGAAGUAGGCUAUUCCGUUAAAAUAUACCAGUAAACAGAUAAUUGCUUUGGAAUAUAGGCUAUAUUUCCACGCUUAGCUUGGAACCAACAGAAUCAACAUUCGUAGUCAAUUUGAAUUUUGCAUUAAGCCUGCAAAAUAAUCAAGAAGAAAGUAUCACUUCUUCUGGAAACAAGACCUUGUGCUUUUGGUAGCUGGUUAUCAAAGUAAUACCACUUUCACACUCAAAACUAAUGAAGUCGUGCACAAGAUCUCACUCCGCUUGCCAGCAUUUCAUCAGGGUCUUCUUUGCUUGGUGAGACUGUUUGUGAUUCCUGGCUACAGACUGAAUCCCUUCAUUUAUUCCCAAAAGGAAUUAUAGGCACAAAGGUGAUUGUUGUAACUGC